rnacentral:rRNA from 1 species
UCCCGGUUGAUCCUGCCGGAGGCCACUGCUAUGGGGGUCCGACUAAGCCAUGCGAGUCAUGGGGCGCGCUCUGCGCGCACCGGCGGACGGCUCAGUAACACGUCGGUAACCUACCCUCGGGAGGGGGAUAACCCCGGGAAACUGGGGCUAAUCCCCCAUAGGCCUGAGGUACUGGAAGGUCCUCAGGCCGAAAGGGGCAUCUGCCCGCCCGAGGAUGGGCCGGCGGCCGAUUAGGUAGUUGGUGGGGUAACGGCCCACCAAGCCGAAGAUCGGUACGGGCCAUGAGAGUGGGAGCCCGGAGAUGGACACUGAGACACGGGUCCAGGCCCUACGGGGCGCAGCAGGCGCGAAACCUCCGCAAUGCGGGCAACCGCGACGGGGGGACCCCCAGUGCCGUGGCAUCGCCACGGCUUUUCCGGAGUGUAAAAAGCUCCGGGAAUAAGGGCUGGGCAAGGCCGGUGGCAGCCGCCGCGGUAAUACCGGCGGCCCGAGUGGUGGCCGCUAUUAUUGGGCCUAAAGCGUCCGUAGCCGGGCCCGUAAGUCCCUGGCGAAAUCCCACGGCUCAACCGUGGGGCUUGCUGGGGAUACUGCGGGCCUUGGGACCGGGAGAGGCCGGGGGUACCCCUGGGGUAGGGGUGAAAUCCUAUAAUCCCAGGGGGACCGCCAGUGGCGAAGGCGCCCGGCUGGAACGGGUCCGACGGUGAG